AUUUAGCUAAAGAGUCACAAAUAGGACGAAAUGCACGUUCUGAAU
rnacentral:hammerhead_ribozyme from 1 species